CCAACACGAUCUCGUCUUGGUAACAUCCAAUCCCAGCCGUUGAUUAUUCUUGAUCCAACGGCUUGCAACUCACCACCCGUCCCCCUUAUAAUGGUCGAAAGAUCGCCCCUCCCCAAACCCUAGUGAACCAACCCCAUUUUCCCUUUUUCAUCUCUCAAUUUGUCUUUCUCACCCUACUGUUUGUCGCCGUCGAAAAUCGCCCCACGAAGGCGGCGAUACUCCAAAUACCCUCAAAAUUUCAUCAAAUAACCCCUACCUUAUCUUUUUCCAAAUCCUUUGAUUUCUCCAUUUCAAAACCCUCUGGUUGUUGUCAAAUUUCAGAUCCACAAAUCUAAACCCUAGCCGCCCAAAAAUCAUCUCCGUCGUCACCACUCCAAAUCAACCCAAAUUAGUACCACAUAAUCCCCAUACCUUCCUAAAACUCAAUCCAUCACCAAUUUCCUCAAAAAUAUACCCAAGCUCCGUGAAUUAUAGAUUCUAAGACUUCCCAGAAACCUUAGAAUUUUCAUUUUAUUUUGUUUCAACGCCUGGGCAUAUGGGGGUUUGUUCGGAUUGUUAGAUACGCCUUCUUAGCUGCUCGACUCUCAUGAGUCCUUUAUUUCAAGAAGAUCCGGCCAGAAUCUCAUUUUAAGCUGGAUUUCUUGGAGGAAAUGACCUUUGGUGGUCAGCGUUUGGUUGGUCUAACAACGUAGAACAAGCGUAGAUCUUUGGUAAGGAUCAAUUACUAUCUUCUCACAUUUGUUCUUUGUAUUUUUUUUGUUUAAGUCCGUUUAGCCAUGAAUUGAUUACUACACCGAUUUAGCAUGUUAAGAAAUUAUUUGUUUAGUUGCUAAUUUGCUCAUAAUUCUGUGCUUGAUUAGUCUUUAGUAAGGAUUGUUUGUCAUUAUUUUAGUUACUUUAAUGAUUCUGUUCAGUCUCAGCAUAAUUAAUUCAGGUCUGUUUGGUUAAGAAUUUUGAAUAAUUGAAUAUCAAGGAAAGGUUAAGAGAUAAUAGUAAUUGAGGUCAAGAUAAAGGGAGGGAUAACUACAGAAGGUUUGAAAGGCAAGAUAGUCAUUAAAUUUAAAAGAAUCUUAGACUAUAACUGUUUGAGAAAUUUCUAUAAUAGAGUAAGGGACUAACAUGCAAUAAGAUUAUAAAUUAGGUUAAAAUUUGGAUAAAAGGAUUAGUUUUCAGGAGUUAAAAAGGGCUAAAAGAAUAUGGAGAAAAAUCGGAACGGACAGCUGUUAUAAAUUCAGUUGUAAAAGAUAUUUUUUUCCUGAAAUUUAGGGGGUGGCCUGCUGAGAAUUAUUCUCUCAUUCUUAGGAGCACGUGGCAGAUUUUAUUCCCUAUAUAUAAGACCUCUUAUUUUCUCACAUACACACGUCACCUAGAUAUUCACUCAAAGAUACCGAAUUCAGUAUGGAUUUUUCUACUUUUCUUCUCUCAUAUUGAUUUCUUCUCCAAAAGACAGUUUGAAAUUCUAUCUUAAUGCAAAAAUAAAGAUUUAGGAUCCAUCUUAAUCUCCUGCUUGCUUUCCUAAAUCAAAGGAAUUUUUUGAAUUUCUGAUUUACUACUGUUUUUUUUUUGCUGCUGCAUUCUUCCCAAUUUUCAGAGACUUAUUUUCUUCUUUUCUUUCUUUACUGUUGUUAAGGUAUGUGCUGACAGCUUCAAAUAAUGUAGAAGUUAUCUUAAUACAACAUGGCUUUAAAAUUUCUGUUGUUUUGUUAGUUCACAUGUGUGCUGGAUUUUCCUCUGUAUUUGGACUGUAAAUUUGAGUUUAGAUUGAAGAAAAAUUGUUUGAUAAAUCUUCGUACAUGUUAGUAAUCUGAGUUAUGAAACAAUUAUCAAUUCUGUAUUUUGAUUCAUGAUUGCUGAGAUUUAUUUUGUUGUUGUUGGGUUCAUGUGAAGUUUUGGAGAUUUUUUGUUGGAUUUGUGGCUAAGAAGUGAGAAGUCUAAGUGUUGGAGAUAAGCUUGGAAAUCUGGCCAGUGCUUGGCCUUAUUCUAAGAUUGUAGCCAAUUGGACUCUAAAGUUGCAAGGUGCAGACUUCAAAUGGAAGUCGGAAAAAGGGGGCCUAAUGUAACUAGGCUUCACACUUAGCCCAUAUUGCUCAUACCCGACUUGUGUGAGAUCUCACGUAGGUCUUAAUAAUUUUAAAUCCAUAACCAUUCAUUUAUUGAAGUAAUAUCAAACUAGUCCAAUA
rnacentral:lncRNA from 1 species